GCGGUAUGCUUAACACAUGCAAGUCGAACGGUAACAGGCCUUCGGGCGCUGACGAGUGGCGGACGGGUGCGUAACGCGUAGGAAUCUGCCUGUUAGUGGGGGACAACGUGGGGAAACUCACGCUAAUACCGCAUACGCCCUACGGGGGAAAGCGGGGGACCUUCGGGCCUCGCGCUAACAGAUGAGCCUGCGUUGGAUUAGCUAGUUGGUAGGGUAAAGGCCUACCAAGGCGACGAUCCAUAGCUGGUCUGAGAGGACGAUCAGCCACACUGGGACUGAGACACGGCCCAGACUCCUACGGGAGGCAGCAGUGGGGAAUAUUGGACAAUGGGCGCAAGCCUGAUCCAGCAAUACCGCGUGUGUGAAGAAGCCUGAGGGUUGUAAAGCACUUUUAAUCGGGAGGAACACCUGUCAGCGAAUACCUGGCAGUCUGACAUUACCGAUAGAAAAAGCACCGGCUAACUCCGUGCCA
rnacentral:rRNA from 1 species